rnacentral:rRNA from 1 species
UACGUAGGGGGCAAGCGUUGUCCGGAUUUAUUGGGCGUAAAGAGCGUGUAGGCGGCUUUGCAAGUCCGUUGUGAAAACUCGAGGCUCAACCUCGAGACGCCGGUGGAAACUGCAAAGCUAGAGUCCGGAAGAGGAGAGUGGAAUUCCUGGUGUAGCGGUGAAAUGCGCGGAUAUCAGGAAGAACACCCGUGGCGAAGGCGGCUCUCUGGGACGGUACUGACGCUGAGACGCGAAAGCGUGGGGAGCGAACAGG